UACGAGGGGUGCAAGCGUUGCUCGGAAUUAUUGGGCGUAAAGGGUAGGUAGGUGGUCUCGUUUAUCGGGGGUGAAAGCCUUGGGCUUAACCCAAGAAGUGCCUUCGAAACGGCGAGACUCGAGUUCUGGAGAGGGUCGUGGAAUUCCCGGUGUAGCGGUGAAAUGCGUAGAGAUCGGGUGGAACACCAGAGGCGAAGGCGGCGACCUGGACAGAUACUGACACUCAACUACGAAAGCGUGGGGAGCAAACAGG
rnacentral:rRNA from 1 species